GAAGCCUUCCAAAAGUUUUAAUUGAUCCGACUAAAACUGUUACAGGUAGAUUCCUGAAGAUGCCCCAAGUUGCCUUUUGAGGGCAGUGUUCCCAGACUCUCCUUCUGGACGCGCUGUCUUUCAUUGCUUGACGCCUUACAGCGAGUAGUUACAGAAACUCACCCUGCCUGCAAAGAGAGGCUGACUCCUAGCUCCUCCUCGGCUGCAUCCAGGCACGUGAGGGCCACCCCCUUCUGCUUCACUUUGUUCUGUGAAAGACGUCACGAGGACUGACUUCUAAGACGACUGGUGUAUUUUUACCUGUUGUAACUGCAUCCUCUCUGGUUUUCCUGGAAGAAGAGAGAGAUCUCAGGGCCUUGGAGCCGGCCAGCAGAGUGAGUUGCCCAGUUAACCACAGUCAUUCUCUGACAAGAGAGAAGAUGGACAGACACACCUAGAUUCUGAUCCUCUCUUAGCUGGUAAGACACUGAUGUCCCG
rnacentral:lncRNA from 1 species